rnacentral:lncRNA from 1 species
AUUCUCCCCCAAACGGUUUGAAGGUUAGAGAUCCCUUGUUGCGCAUUCACUUGCCUCCAUGACCUCAACGAUGCCGUGGUCACCCGCGGAUGGGGUGACUUUGACAUAAUCAAAGAUCAAGUACCUAAUCACAAGACAACUAUGAUGCCUUAGGUCAAAGGACUACUUUGCAUUAUCCCAACCAUGAGUUCUCAUGUUACAUGAAUAUGAGAACUCCUCGUUGAUCAUGUUCAGUGGACUAAUUCGUUAUUGAGCACCUACAUGCUUGUCUUGGUGUCAAUCACACCAAUGACUCGAGACUAGUCACUUUCCCUAAGAGAAGACAUAGCAUGUACUGAUCUUAACGGAUUGUCGAUGCCCAAUUGGAAAUCCUAUGAUCAGGAACGUUUAGGAUAUGUAUACGAAAGAAUGGUCUCUUGAAUCUAACUUCUUUAAAUCGCAUUCUCCCAAUCACAUAUUUCUUGGACUUAUCGUUUAAGCGUAUAACAUUUAUAUGAGAUGGCUUAAACAAUAAUCUUUGCCCUUGAUAUUAAACUAGAUUAGUUUAACAUGUGAAAUGUCCGUAAAGUAUCAUCAUAUGAUUGGUUUUAGGGCACAUUUCCAACAUAUUCACCCCGCACCACACGCUCACCUUGGAUCCAAGUAGGUGCAUGUCGAACAGACCAUUAGAGGUGGUUCCGACAUGUCGUACAAACCAUUAGAGAUGGUUCUGACUUGUAGGUGACUUUAGAUUAUUAUACAGUUGUUGAUGAGAGAAGCACUAGAGCGUAUUCUUACACUAUUCUUGUCGUACAGAGUACUUCAGGUAGUUCCGAUUUAUGUGCAGAGUAGUGUCGUACAGGUCACAGUGGUGACUCCGUUUGGGUUGGAUAUUGAGCUAUAAAAUUAACCGUACAGGACAGCUGCAAGGUAUCCGGUUGAUUCCUUAUUUCACCUGUUAUAUUGAUGCAUCCUUAUUAUGUUCGAAGCAUAGCCUGACAUAUUUCUUGAAAAGUAUUAAAGACUUGUGAUUUGAGUUAAUUGCUGUUAUAUGGUUAUAUAUAUACUAUUUUUCUGGGAACGUAUACAGGUUUUACAGGGAGGGGUUAGAAGUGUUGUUAAAUGAAGUAUUUUCGAAAAGCUUUGUUUUACUGACCCACUCAAUCUUGUUUUGUGCCCCUCCAGGUUCUAGUUAGCAGUGUUGGUGGCUCAUGAGGAUUCCCACGACAUUCUGACAGACUACUUAAAUGUAGGACUCACCUUCGGGUGUUGUAAUUUAGUAAUGGUCCUACUUGACUGCACUUAGUACUUAUGCUCGGAAUAUGUGUGUUUCACACUUAAACUCACUCUAGCAUGCUAGUUGGAUAUUAUUGCUAAUAGUUGGUUUUUAUUCCUUCGUAUUUCUUUUAUCUUUUGCUUCCGCAUCACAGUUUUGGUUACGUCACGCCCACGUUACGACUAGCACACCUUGAUUCUAGGAUCGGGGUGUGUCAAUGUAUAU